rnacentral:rRNA from 1 species
CAGAUCAGAAGCGAGAAUGUUGACAUGAGUAGCGAUAAAGAGGGUGAGAGACCCUCUCGCCGUAAGUCCAAGGGUUCCUGCUUAAAGCUAAUCUGAGCAGGGUAAGCCGGCCCCUAAGGCGAGGCCGAAAGGCGUAGUCGAUGGGAACCAGGUUAAUAUUCCUGGGCCAGGAGGAAGUGACGGAUCUCGAAGGUAGUUUGCCCUUAUCGGAUUGGGUGGGCUGCUCAGAGGUUCCAGGAAAUAGCCCUCCAUCAGACCGUACCCUAAACCGACACAGGUGGACUGGUAGAGUAUACCAAGGCGCUUGAGAGAACCACGUUAAAGGAACUCGGCAAAAUGCCUCCGUAAGUUCGCGAGAAGGAGGCCCCAUAUCUGGGCAACCAGGUGUGGGGGGCACAAACUAGGGGGUGGCGACUGUUUACUUAAAACACAGGGCUGUGCGAAGCCGUAAGGCGACGUAUACAGUCUGACGCCUGCCCGGUGCUGGAAGGUUAAAAGGAGGGGUGCAAGCUCUGAAUUGAAGCCCCGGUAAACGGCGGCCGUAACAAUAACGGUCCUAAGGUAGCGAAAUUCCUUGUCGGGUAAGUUCCGACCUGCACGAAUGGCGUAACGAUCUCCCCGCUGUCUCUAACGUGGACUCAGCGAAAUUGAACUGUGUGUCAAGAUGCACACUACCCGCGGUUAGACGGAAAGACCCCAUGCACCUUUACUCCAGCUUUGCACUGGUAUCAGGAUUGUGAUGUGCAGGAUAGGUGGUAGGCAUCGAAGCGGGGACGCCAGUUCUCGUGGAGCCUCCCUUGAGAUACCACCCUUCGCCAUCUUGAUAUCUAACCGCGGCCCGUUAUCCGGGUCCGGGACCCUGCAUGGUGGGGAGUUUGACUGGGGCGGUCGCCUCCCAAACAGUAACGGAGGCGCGCGAAGGUAGGCUCAGACCGGUCGGAAAUCGGUCGUUGAGUGCAAUGGCAGAAGCCUGCCUGACUGCAAGUCUGACAAGACGAGCAGAGACGAAAGUCGGUCAUAGUGAUCCGGUGGUCCCAAGUGGGAGGGCCAUCGCUCAACGGAUAAAAGGUACGCUGGGGAUAACAGGCUGAUGAUGCCCAAGAGUCCAUAUCGACGGCAUCGUUUGGCACCUCGAUGUCGGCUCAUCUCAUCCUGGGGCUGGAGCAGGUCCCAAGGGUAUGGCUGUUCGCCAUUUAAAGAGGUACGUGAGCUGGGUUUAGAACGUCGUGAGACAGUUCGGUCCCUAUCUGCCGUGGGUGUAGGAGACUUGAGAAGAGUUGCCCCUAGUACGAGAGGACCGGGGUGAACGAACCACUGGUGGACCAGUUGUCGUGCCAACGGCAGUGCUGGGUAGCUAUGUUCGGACAGGAUAACCGCUGAAGGCAUCUAAGCGGGAAGCCCCCUUCAAAACAAGGUCUCCCUUGAGAGCCGUGGAAGACCACCACGUCGAUAGGCCGGAGGUGUAAGUGCAGCAAUGCAUUCAGCUGACCGGUACUAAUUGCUUAA